rnacentral:rRNA from 1 species
GUGGGGAAUAUUGGGCAAUGGGCGCAAGCCUGACCCAGCAACGCCGCGUGAAGGAAGAAGGCUUUCGGGUUGUAAACUUCUUUUACCAGGGACGAAACAAAUGACGGUACCUGGUGAAUAAGCCACGGCUAACUACGUGCCAGCAGCCGCGGUAAUACGUAGGUGGCGAGCGUUAUCCGGAUUUAUUGGGUGUAAAGGGCGUGUAGACGGGACAGCAAGUCAGAUGUGAAAACCAGAGGCUCAACCUCUGGCCUGCAUUUGAAACUGUUGUUCUUGAGUGUCGGAGAGGUAAUCGGAAUUCCGUGUGUAGCGGUGAAAUGCGUAGAUAUACGGAGGAACACCAGUGGCGAAGGCGGAUUACUGGACGAUAACUGACGCUGAGGCGCGAAAGCGUGGGGAGCAAACAGGAUUAGAUACCCCAGUAGUCC